AGAUUGAACGCUGGCGGCAGGCCUAACACAUGCAAGUCGAGCGGCAGCACGGGUACUUGUACCUGGUGGCGAGCGGCGGACGGGUGAGUAAUGCCUAGGAAUCUGCCUGAUAGUGGGGGAUAACGUUCGGAAACGGACGCUAAUACCGCAUACGUCCUACGGGAGAAAGUGGGGGAUCUUCGGACCUCACGCUAUCAGAUGAGCCUAGGUCGGAUUAGCUAGUGUAGGUAAAGCCUACCAAGGCUACGAUCCGUAACUGGUCUGAGAGGAUGAUCAGUCACACUGGAACUGAGACACGGUCCAGACUCCUACGGGAGCAGCAGUGGGAAUAUUGGACAAUGGGCAAAGCCUGAUCCAGCCAAUGCCGCGUGUAGUGAAGAAGGUCUUCGGAAUUGUAAAGCUAACUUUAAGGUUGGGAGAAGGCAAUUAACCCAAUUACGUUAGUGUUUAGACGUUACGACAGAAUAAGCAACCGGCUAAACUCGUGUACGCCUAAGCAACGCCGU
rnacentral:rRNA from 1 species